UCCUUCGCUCGCAGCGCCGUAUCUCCCGCUCCCGCCCCCUGUGUGCGAAGAGCAUCUGAAAGGCAACGGGUGAGGCGCUUCUCCGCGCACCGCGCACCCUUUCUUUCGGUGGCGUUUCGCUUCGAGACGCAUACACGCACACAGCCACACACCCCCCACUCCCCUCCGCGCUGCCCUUCUUCGACGCCAUGUUGCCCCUGACGCUCCUUCGUCAUUGCAACUCUCUGCCGCAGUGUGCGGCCGCUGCACCACUGUCGCGGCGAUGCGCCCUCUCGUCGGCCCUGGCGAAGGGGACGACGUCGACACAUGCAAGCGCGUUCCGUACCGCAUCCAUCACUGAAUGUCGCUUCCUGGCGACAGCAACCGGUGUGUGCGGCAGCCCCAGCACCGACUCCUUUUCUCUCGACCCUCCCAUUGAGGUCUCCCACUUGCGGGCGGCGCGUGAUGGGCACUUGAAGAAGACACUCACCGCGAAGCUCCGGCAGCUGGACGCGAUGGAGCGCAUCAAGGCCGAGUGUGACGAGAUCGCCUUCCACUACCCGGACGUAUUCAUGAAGCAGCUGUUUGCCUUUCUCGUGCUACAGGCGGCGGUGCUCUUUGACUGGACAUACGUCCACUUCGACUGGAACUUCGUCGAGCCCAUCACGUACCUCGUCGGGUACAGCGCGACUUGGAUCGCCAUCGCGUGGUAUGGCGCGAUGCAGCAAGAGUUCAGCUACGAGUCCCUGCAUCGCUUUCUUCAGAACGCCAAGCGUGAGAGGCUCUACAAGGCGCACCAAUUCGACCAGCAGGCUUACGAGGCGCUGCGGGUGGAAGUGGCGAAGCUAGACAGGGUGGUGCGCGGAUUGGAGGGGGUGUAGAUGUGAACAAGCACGACGCGAGUCGUCUUUCUGCUCGUAUGUGUCUGUGCGUGUGGCGCACCCACGCUCUCCUUUCACCGCUUGGAUGUAGGGGAACGACUCCCAAGCGAAAAGGGCGUCGUCUAUGCGUGUAGCCCUUAAAGGGAGAGGAAUGUGAUGUGGAGGGGAACAGUUUCUCACCUCCUCAUCCCUCCCGCCUCUCGCCAGCGAGAGCACCUCCUUCCUUCCUUGCUUCCUUCCUUCCCUCAAGGUCUCCGCGCACUGCAUGCUGUGUGCGUGAGGCUCUCGCUGUCGCUGCCCUUCUACUUCCUAAGCCGCCGCCCCUCGUCUCUCCACACGCGUCUUGUUCAUCUCACAG
rnacentral:misc_RNA from 1 species